rnacentral:rRNA from 1 species
GACGAACCGUGCAAACGUUGUUCGGAAUCACUGGGCUUAAAGGGUGCGUAGGCGGCGCGGUAAGUCGGGUGUGAAAUCUCGGGGCUUAACUCCGAAACUGCAUUCGAUACUGCCGUGCUUGAGGACUGGAGAGGAGACUGGAAUUUACGGUGUAGCGGUGAAAUGCGUAGAUAUCGUAAGGAAGACCAGUGGCGAAGGCGGGUCUCUGGACAGUUCCUGACGCUGAGGCACGAAGGUCAGGGGAGCAAACGGG